rnacentral:misc_RNA from 1 species
UCGUAACAAGGUCUCCGUUGGUGAACCAGCGGAGGGAUCAUUACCGAGUUUACAACUCCCAAACCCCUGUGAACAUACCAAUUGUUGCCUCGGCGGAUCAGCCCGCUCCCGGUAAAACGGGACGGCCCGCCAGAGGACCCCUAAACUCUGUUUCUAUAUGUAACUUCUGAGUAAAACCAUAAAUAAAUCAAAACUUUCAACAACGGAUCUCUUGGUUCUGGCAUCGAUGAAGAACGCAGCAAAAUGCGAUAAGUAAUGUGAAUUGCAGAAUUCAGUGAAUCAUCGAAUCUUUGAACGCACAUUGCGCCCGCCAGUAUUCUGGCGGGCAUGCCUGUUCGAGCGUCAUUUCAACCCUCAAGCCCCCGGGUUUGGUGUUGGGGAUCGGCGAGCCCUUGCGGCAAGCCGGCCCCGAAAUCUAGUGGCGGUCUCGCUGCAGCUUCCAUUGCGUAGUAGUAAAACCCUCGCAACUGGUACGCGGCGCGGCCAAGCCGUUAAACCCCCAACUUCUGAAUGUUGACCUCGGAUCAGGUAGGAAUACCCGCUGAACUUAAGCAUAUCA